AUGUUGUGCAUCCUGUCAAAAUGUAUCUGAAUCCCUGCAUCCUGUUUACACAGUUAAACACUGGCAGUCACAACUGGAGGACUGUGGAGUUUCCAGUGGCUUCUGAGGUUCAGUUAGUGUGGACAUUUA